UUUUUUUCACAUAAAUAAAGCCGUUAGUUUUCUCGUUUGAAUUGUUUUACAUUGUCAUUUCGAGGACUAUGCGGAAUGGGAUUUGCUCAUUGUUGAAGGCCGUACGGUGACCUAUAGUUGUUAGUUUCUGUGUCAUUCUGGUCUCUUGUGGAGAGGUGUCUUAUCGACAAUCAUACGACAUCUUAAUAUAUAUAUAUAUAUAUUUUUUAUAUUCACACAUCUGUGUCAUCUCUACUAUCGUUCACUAAAAUAUCGUCAUUUGAGCUUGAUGGACCAGGAAUAGGUUGUAAUUCAGGUUGGUUUGGUCGUUCCGACAUCUUUUCUGGAUCAUUACGGUACUUUUAAUAUUACUGCAUAGUAUAACAUAUUUAACUUAUUCAUGUCAUUUAUAUUGUAUAUGUCUGCUUCAAUGUAAUGAUUUGCUUUCUGUAGCUCUUGUGGAUGUAGUAUGAACAUGGAAACUUUUAAUUAUCAGGAACAUUAUUCUUAUGCGAGUCUUAUCGACUUAAAAAUUUACUUGACAUGGUGCAUCUCUUGAACCAUCAUGAUGUGAUGUCAGUGUAAACUCUACGUCAUUUGGUAUCUGGUGGAGAGUUGUUUUAUUGGCAAUACUACCACAUCUCCUUAUUUCCUUAAGUUAUAGAAUUGUAUAACUAUCACUUUAGCUGGUAUUCCAUUUACACAUGUAGCACAGGCAUAAUUUUCGAAAAGAACAAUGCAUCAAUAGAAAUC
rnacentral:lncRNA from 1 species